rnacentral:rRNA from 1 species
CCUACGGGUGGCAGCAGUGAGGAAUAUUGGUCAAUGGACGAGAGUCUGAACCAGCCAAGUAGCGUGAAGGAUGACUGCCCUAUGGGUUGUAAACUUCUUUUAUAUGGGAAUAAAAUGUUCCACGUGUGGGAUUUUGUAUGUACCAUAUGAAUAAAGAAUGGCCAACUUCGUGCCAGCAGCCGCGGUAAUACGGAGGAACCGAGCGUUAACCGGAUUUAUUGGGUUUAAAGGGAGCGUAGGUGGAUUGUUAAGUCAGUUGUGAAAGUUUGGGGCUCAACCGUAAAAUUGCAGUUGAAACUGGCAGUCUUGAGUACACUAGAGGUGGGCGGAAUUCGUGGUGUAGCGGUGAAAUGCUUAGAUAUCACGAAGAACUCCGAUUGCGAAGGCAGCUCUCUGGAGUGCAACUGACACUGAGGCUCGAAAGUGUGGGUAUCAAACAGGAUUAGAUACCCGUGUAGUC